rnacentral:lncRNA from 1 species
AGACUCUCUGGGGCCCACUGAUUCACGCAGGUGUUUGGGACCAUUUUGUUGAUAAGUCUCCAGCACCAGGCAAGGGGCAACAGCUUGGAAGAUCAGUGCCUGCCAUCCUCUUGCCCUUAUCCCAGGAACACUGGAAGUCACAGUCUGUUCCAGCCAACCCAGAAACAAGAAGACAAGCCGGGUCCUUGCAAGUAAGGAAGGUGCUAUAAACCCAAGUGCCUGUGAGAUCGACAACCCCCCCCCCCAAAAAAAUGAAAGAGCAACAGUCACUUGUUCUACAACUGCUGGACUUGGAUAUCAACUUGAGCAGAUGAAAGGACACUCUGAGUGUUUUCUAACUGGGCUCAGGACUCGUCUCUUCGUGUGAUUUCAAGGUUGAUAUUUGGAUUAGAAUGACUAGGCUGCCCAGCUGUGCCUGUGUGGCACAUUCUGCUCGGAGACUGGUAUGUGCACACAAUGUACACAUGGCCACAAGGACCACAACACACCCAUGGAAGUCAAAGAACAACUUCGUGGAGUCUGUUUCCUUCUUCCACCUUCACUUGGGUUCCAGGAAUCAAACUCGGGUCACCAUGUUUGUACAGCAAGCCCCUUUACCCUAUGAGCCAUCUCAUCAGCCCCAUUUUUCCCUGUACCUGUUGGCCUUCAGUAGGUCUUUUGAAAAAAAAUGUCUACUGAGAUGCUUAACCCAUUGUUUACUGGGCUAUUCUCUUUCUUGUUUUUUUUUGGGGGGGAGGGGGGCUUCUUAUAUCUUUUAGACAAGACCCACCUGUCAGCCUGCAUGUUUGCAAAUAUUUUCUCCCACUCUGUAGGUUAUCUCUUCGCUCGGUGAGUUGCUUCGUCUACAAUGCAAAGCACUUCAGGCUAAUGAGAUCCCAUUUGUCUGUGGUGGCUUUCCCUGCCUGUACUUUCAGGCUCGUACCCAUAAAACCUCCCUAUUAAGUUUCUUAUUAACAGUCGCAACAUUAGCCCUACAUAUUUAAUAAGAUGAUGAGGACCAAAUUUGGUAAUUUCCUAAAAUGCAUCCACCCUCCCCAACUCUGGGACCUUUGAAGUUAUUCAUUUACAUGAGUCAGGAAAACAAUGCCAUAAAAACCCAAAAUAUAUGUCAGUAAGUAACUUUCCCAGUUAAUAAAGCACAAAGAAAUGCUUCUAUGUUCCUAGCUAGGAACAAACACACACCAAUUGUAUUUUCCAACUCUUAUAAGAAGUAACAUUUUUCCCUAGAAGAGAUGUUACACACUGGUUUUUCAUCCAAAAGGGAGAACAUAUUAACUUAUAUCCAAAGAGAACAAUGGUGUGGCUUGAACGGGGCAUGCCACACACAGGCUAAUGUGUUUGAACAUCUGGACCCAGCUAGCUGCACUGUUGCAAAACCUUUAGGAGGUAGAGCCUCAUGGAGUCAAGCCUUGAGGAUUGAUAUCCACACACACACUCCCUACUUCCUGGUCAUGCUGUGUUUUCUAGCUAUAGAUGUGUCGUCCUAUUGAGAGAGCAGCUAUCUGUACUCCUGAUGCCAUGCUGUGGUAGCUAAUCUAGGUUGUCAACUUGACACACUAGAGAAGAGGGAACCCCAGUUGAACUGCCUCCAUCAAACUGACCUGUGGCCACAUCUGUGAGACAUUUUAUUACUGAUUGAUGCUUCGGCAGGUGGUGUUGUCUCAUGACUAGUCAGCCUGGACUGUGUAAGAGAGGUAGCUGGGCAUGAAUUUCAAAGAAGCAGGUCAGUAAGCAGUAUUCCUCCUCCAUUGUUUCUGCUUCAAGCUCCUUGAGUUCUACCUUAGCAUCUGUAUUAGGGUUCUCUAGAGUCACAGAACUUAUAGUCUCUAUAUAGUAAAGGAAUUUAUUGAUGACUUACAGUCUGCAAUGCUGUGAAUGGAAGUCCAAGGAUCUAGCAGUUGCUCAGUCCCACAUGGCAAGCAGGCGAAAGAGUGAGAGUGAGACUCCCUUCUUCCAAUGUCCUUAUAUGGUCUCCAGCAGAAGGUGUAGCCCAGAUUAAAGGUGUGUGCUACCACAACUUUAAUCCCAGAUGACCUUGAACUCGGAGAUUUCCCUGUCUUAAUCUUCUGGAAUCCAUAGUCAGUAUGUCUCAAGUUCUCCAUACCAAGAUCCAGAUCAGAAACUUUCAUCUCCCAACCUCCAGAUUAGGGUCACUGGUGAGCCUUCCAAUUCUGGAUUGUAGUUCAUUCCAGAUAUAGUCAAGUUGACAACCAGGAAUAGCCACUACAGCAUCCCUCAAUGAUGGACCCUAACUUGUUAAAUGAAAUAAAACCUUUUCUCCACA